UACAGAGGUCUCAAGCGUUGUUCGGAUUCAUUGGGCGUAAAGGGUGCGUAGGCGGCGCGGUAAGUCGGGUGUGAAAUCUCGGAGCUUAACUCCGAAACUGCAUUCGAUACUGCCGUGCUUGAGGACUGGAGAGGAGACUGGAAUUUACGGUGUAGCGGUGAAAUGCGUAGAUAUCGUAAGGAAGACCAGUGGCGAAGGCGGGUCUCUGGACAGUUCCUGACGCUGAGGUGCGAAAGCGUGGGGAGCAAACAGG
rnacentral:rRNA from 1 species